GUCCUUACACCAAUUACGAUACAGCCUCCAAGGGAAGCCCAUAACAACAAUAAUAAUAGCAGCGCGAAACACAACACAAAGAUCAGUGUUUCCCACAAGCGUGUUACAUUACUGUGCCAUCCAUCCGUCCAGUAGAAAAUAGAGGAGGGUAGGGGCCCCCCUUCUCCCAAUGUUGUCACACACACUCUCUCACUUCACACCCAAAGCUAGUGAUAAUUUUUACAUCAGAGAAAAGGCAAACCCACCAAGGAUUGAACACGACAAGGUUACAAAAAGAGGAAGUGAGGUAGGGGCCCAUAACAGCCAAGAGGCGUGCACUCUCGUUUUUGGGUACUUUUUGGAACAACCAGUCUUCUCUUUCAAAAACAGCUCACACCCCAUGCCAGCGUUAGUGCUACUUUCUCUAACCCCCAAGACAUGGACUAAUCAUUCAUUUCCUCUCUUUUUUUUCCUUUAUUGCGGCAUAAUAAGCUGAAUACCUCAUCUCUUUCUUCACACACAAAUUACAUUACACAAAACCCACCUCCUCAACUCCCUAUCUUCCAACAACUUAAUGAUUGACCAGUGGCUUCUUCAAGGGAUUCAUUUCACACUUCACAUUCACCACUUCCCUUGCUCAACACUAUCAC
rnacentral:lncRNA from 1 species